CAUUAAGAAGCUAUCACGGAUAGCAACAGCCUUUUAAGCUGGAGCCCGGUGACUCCCAACCACCCUUAAUGA
rnacentral:tRNA from 1 species